rnacentral:rRNA from 1 species
AACGUACGCUGGCGGCACGCCUAACACAUGCAAGUCGAACGAAGUAGCAAUACUUAGUGGCAGACGGGUGAGUAACAUGUGGGUAUCUGCCCUUUGGCCUGGAAUAACACGAGGAAACUUGUGCUAAUACCGGAUAAGUCUUUACGGAGAAAGCUUUAUGCACCAUUGGAUGAGCCCGCACUUGAUUAGUUUGUUGGUGGGGUAAUGGCCUACCAAGACUGUGAUCAAUAGCUGAUUUGAGAGGAUGAUCAGCCACAUUGGGACUGAGACACGGCCCAAACUCCUACGGGAGGCAGCAGUGGGGAAUCUUGCACAAUGGAGGAAACUCUGAUGCAGCGAUGCCGCGUGAGUGAAGAAGGCCCUUGGGUUGUAAAGCUCUUUCGUCGGGGAAGAAAAUGACUGUACCCGAAUAAGAAGGUCCGGCUAACUUCGUGCCAGCAGCCGCGGUAAUACGAAGGGACCUAGCGUAGUUCGGAAUUACUGGGCUUAAAGAGUUCGUAGGUGGUUGAAAAAGUUAGUGGUGAAAUCCCAGGGCUUAACUCUGGAACUGCCAUUAAAACUUUUCAGCUAGAGUAUGAUAGAGGAAAGCAGAAUUUCUAGUGUAGAGGUGAAAUUCGUAGAUAUUAGAAAGAAUACCAAUUGCGAAGGCAGCUUUCUGGAUCAUUACUGACACUGAGGAACGAAAGCAUGGGUAGCGAAGAGGAUUAGAUACCCUCGUAGUCCAUGCCGUAAACGAUGUGUGUUAGACGUUGGAAAUUUAUUUUCAGUGUCGCAGCGAAAGCGAUAAACACACCGCCUGGGGAGUACGACCGCAAGGUUAAAACUCAAAUGAAUUGACGGGGACCCGCACAAGUAGUGGAGCAUGUGGUUUAAUUCGAAGAUACGCGCAGAACCUUACCAACACUUGACAUGUUCGUCGCGACUCUAAGAGAUUGGAGUUUUCGGUUCGGCCGGACGAAACACAGGUGCUGCAUGGCUGUCGUCAGCUCGUGUCGUGAGAUGUUGGGUUAAGUCCCGCAACGAGCGCAACCCUCACUUUUAGUUGCCAUCAUUAAGUUGGGCACUCUGAAAGAACUGCCAGUGAUAAGCUGGAGGAAGGUGGGGAUGACGUCAAGUCCUCAUGGCCCUUACGUGUUGGGCUACACACGUGCUACAAUGGUAUCUACAACAGGAAGCAAGACUGCGAGGUCAAGCAAAUCCUUAAAAGAUACCUCAGUUCGGAUUGCACUCUGCAACUCGAGUGCAUGAAGCUGGAAUUACUAGUAAUCGUGGAUCAGCGUGCCACGGUGAAUGCGUUCCCGGGUCU